rnacentral:precursor_RNA from 12 species
AAUUCGAGCGAAGGCGUCCCGGUCCGGUGAAGGGCUUAACCCACCUGUGAGCAGCGCUUUACGAUAAGUGUUCACAGUGGCUAAGUUAUGCAUCUGUCCGGGGAUUAUUACUUCUGCACCU